rnacentral:rRNA from 1 species
GACGAACGCUGGCGGCGUGCCUAAUACAUGCAAGUAGAACGCUGAAGCGAGGAGCUUGCUCUUCUUGGAUGAGUUGCGAACGGGUGAGUAACGCGUAGGUAACCUGCCUUGUAGCGGGGGAUAACUAUUGGAAACGAUAGCUAAUACCGCAUAACAAUGGAUGACACAUGUCAUUUAUUUGAAAGGGGCAAUUGCUCCACUACAAGAUGGACCUGCGUUGUAUUAGCUAGUAGGUGAGGUAAUGGCUCACCUAGGCGACGAUACAUAGCCGACCUGAGAGGGUGCUCGGCCACACUGGGACUGAGACACGGCCCAGACUCCUACGGGAGGCAGCAGUAGGGAAUCUUCGGCAAUGGGGGCAACCCUGACCGAGCAACGCCGCGUGAGUGAAGAAGGUUUUCGGAUCGUAAAGCUCUGUUGUAAGUCAAGAACGGGUGUGAGAGUGGAAAGUUCACACUGUGACGGUAGCUUACCAGAAAGGGACGGCUAACUACGUG